GGGGCCGACCUGGCUUCGACGUGGGUGCGGAGUCGGAUCAGGGCAUGCCGAGCGCCAGAACAGCUCGUAAAUCCAGCUGGAAACAAGUAACUGCGAACGACGAACGUUUCGCCCUCGCCGCUUAACACCGGUGAGCCUCUCAACGGUUGGCCGAUGGGCCGGGCUGAAGGUCGCAAGACCCUGAGCUGAGAGGUCAGUCACAUUGGCUGGCGCCUGACCGGGUCACUCGGUCAGGAGCGAGAUUCAGUGACUGGCGGACCGGAUAGCGUGCUGCUGCGCGAUCCGGGCCGUGAGAUCCAAAUCAGACAGCUACGCAUGUAGAACUGGUCGGCAAUGGCUUGCGGACGGGGGUUCGAUUCCCCCCGGCUCCACCA
rnacentral:tmRNA from 1 species